rnacentral:lncRNA from 1 species
AUGGACUUCACAUGCUCAACGACCCCGACAUGGUCCUCACCGACCCCGCCACAGAGGACACGUUCCGCAUGGACCGGCUGUGACCCGGGGAGCCGCCACAUGGGGGCUUCACCCACCCUGGGGGCUUCAUCCAGCCCUGGAGCCGCCAUCCCGGGGGCUGCAUCCAUCCUGGGGGCUUCAUCCAGCCCUGGAGCCACCAUCCCAGGGCUUUAUCCAUCCUGGGGGCUCCCCCCUGGGGCUGCAUCCCACCCUGGGGGCUUCAUCCCACCCCAGAGCCACCAUCCUGGGGGCUGCAUCCCACCCUGGAAGCUCCAUCCCAGCCCAGGGUCCAUCCUGGGGGCUCCAUCCCAACCCUGGGUCUCCAUCCCACCCUGGGGGCUCCAUCCCACCCGAGGGUCCAUCCCCCCCAGGGUCCAUCCUGGAGGGAGCAGCUCUCCGUGUCCCUGUCCCAUGGGUCCCCAGCUUGUUGUUCUGAGCUUGCCGCGCUGCCCAGCCCGUCCCAGCCGUGUCCCCCGAGCCGCUCGUUGCCGUCCAGCAGUCAGGAUUGUCCGGUUUGUCCCGGUGGUUUAUCCCGGUUUGUCCCGGUGGUUUUCCUGGUGGUUUAUCCCGGUUUGUCCCGGUGGUUUAUCCCGGUUUGUCCCGGUGGUUUAUCUGGUUUAUCCCGGUGGUUUAUCCGGUUUGUCCCAGUGGUUUAUCCCGGUAGUUUAUCCGGUUUGCCAUUGGUUUUCCCCUGCCCAGCCCCCUGCCCCAGUCCCCGUGCACCCCAGGGGUCUCUGGGCAGCGGGGCUGGAGGGGCGCUGCCCCCUUGGGCAGCCAAUGCCCGCAGUGCCACCGUGCCCGGGGCUCUGCCGGUGGCACUGCCAGCCCUGCCGGGCCCAGGGGUGUCCUCACCCUCCCGUCCCUCCCUCCUGCCCCAGCAGCCCCGGCCAAGCGGAGCCGCCAGGCCCACAAAUCCACUUCAAACACUAUUGGUUCCAAGCUUUCUAUGGUUUUGUUUUAUUUUUGUUUUUUUAA